GACGAACGCUGGCGGCGUGCUUAACACAUGCAAGUCGAACGGAAAGGCCCUGCUUGCAGGGUACUCGAGUGGCGAACGGGUGAGUAACACGUGGGUGAUCUGCCCUGCACUUCGGGAUAAGCCUGGGAAACUGGGUCUAAUACCGGAUAGGAGCCAUUUUUAGUGUGAUGGUUGGAAAGUUUUUUCGGUGUAGGAUGAGCUCGCGGCCUAUCAGCUUGUUGGUGGGGUAAUGGCCUGCCAAGGCGGCGACGGGUAGCCGGCCUGAGAGGGUGGACGGCCACAUUGGGACUGAGAUACGGCCCAGACUCCUACGGGAGGCAGCAGUGGGGAAUAUUGCACCAUGGGCGCAAGCCUGAUGCAGCGACGCCGCGUGGGGGAUGACGGCCUUCGGGUUGUAAACUCCUUUCGCUAGGGACGAAGCUUUUUGUGACGGUACCUAGAUAAGAAGCACCGGCUAACUACGUG
rnacentral:rRNA from 1 species